rnacentral:rRNA from 1 species
AGAGUUUGAUCCUGGCUCAGGAUGAACGCUAGCGACAGGCUUAACACAUGCAAGUCGAGGGGCAGCGAGGGAGUGGCAACACUUCUGUCGGCGACCGGCGCACGGGUGAGUAACGCGUAUGCAACCUGCCCUUCACAGGGGGAUAACCGGGAGAAAUUCCGACUAAUACCGCAUACGUCCUCCGGGGGCAUCCCCGGGGGAUGAAAGAAUUAUCGGUGAAGGAUGGGCAUGCGUGAUAUUAGGUAGUUGGCGGGGCAACGGCCCACCAAGCCCACGAUAUCUAGGGGUUCUGAGAGGAAGGUCCCCCACAUUGGUACUGAGACACGGACCAAACUCCUACGGGAGGCAGCAGUGAGGAAUAUUGGUCAAUGGACGAGAGUCUGAACCAGCCAAGUAGCGUGAAGGAUGAAGGUCCUACGGAUUGUAAACUUCUUUUAUAAGGGAAUAAACCCUCCCACGUGUGGGAGCUUGUAUGUACCUUAUGAAUAAGCAUCGGCUAACUCCGUGCCAGCAGCCGCGGUAAUACGGAGGAUGCGAGCGUUAUCCGGAUUUAUUGGGUUUAAAGGGAGCGCAGACGGGUCGUUAAGUCAGCUGUGAAAGUUUGGGGCUCAACCUUAAAAUUGCAGUUGAUACUGGCGUCCUUGAGUGCGGUUGAGGUGUGCGGAAUUCGUGGUGUAGCGGUGAAAUGCUUAGAUAUCACGAAGAACUCCGAUUGCGAAGGCAGCACACUAAUCCGUAACUGACGUUCAUGCUCGAAAGUGUGGGUAUCAAACAGGAUUAGAUACCCUGGUAGUCCACACGGUAAACGAUGGAUACUCGCUGUUGGCGAUAUACUGUCAGCGGCUUAGCGAAAGCGUUAAGUAUCCCACCUGGGGAGUACGCCGGCAACGGUGAAACUCAAAGGAAUUGACGGGGGCCCG